UACAGAGGUCUCAAGCGUUGUCCGGAUUCAUUGGGCGUAAAGGGUGCGUAGGCGGCGCGGUAAGUCGGGUGUGAAAUUUCGGAGCUUAACUCCGAAACUGCAUUCGAUACUGCGGUGCUUGAGGACUGGAGAGGAGACUGGAAUUCAUGGUGUAGCAGUGAAAUGCGUAGAGAUCAUGAGGAAGACCAGUGGCGAAGGCGGGUCUCUGGACAGUUCCUGACACUGAGGCACGAAGGCCAGGGGAGCAAACGGG
rnacentral:rRNA from 1 species